ensembl:lncRNA
GAAAAAAGUUUCUUUUUGAUUUUUUUAACUUGUAUCUUCUUUUUUUCAAAUACUUUCAAAAGUUAAUUAUCUCCACAAAUGUGGAUUCAAUCCAUAUAAAAACCAAACUUUGUCAAGUAAGCUGAGUCAUUCAAGCAAACUUGGAUUUGCAGGAGGACAAUCUUUCAGGUAUCAACAGAGCCCUAGAUGGCUCUUCCCUCCUCAAGGGGGGACUCAAGGGACUCUUCUUCAGUCCCAAGCCAGGGAGGAGCCCUUCUGCAGACAACCCAGAGACUGACGUAGGAAUCUCUUCUACAGCAUCUCUGAUUGGGUGAGGUAUUCCUUAGCUCAGGAAAUGGCCCAUUUCAUUGCUGAGCAUGCACUUCAUGAUGUUAAAAAGCUUUUUUUAAAUUGAAUUGAAGCCCAGAUUUAUAUAAUUUUCACUCAUUUAUCAUAGUUUUGCCUUUUGGCAAAACAAAACUACUGUCUUUUCUAUCCCAGAGUGUUGUGAACAUUCGAAGACUUCCCCGUACCCUUUCAUUGAUCCUCUUGCCUCUAGCUCCUUUAGCCACUUCCAAGCAAGACGUGGUUUCUAGAUCCCUUCACCUUUGAAGAGUGAAGAACUGUGGAGGUAUGCUUAAGGGUAAAAUUAAUUUUAUAUUUUUUAAGUCGUUAAAGGAAAACCCAAGUUUAUGGAAUCAUUUGGCGCUAUCCAAAUUGAGCUGCUGACUUGACUAUUUUGGGAAAAGUCUCCACUUUUGAGAUGAAAAGCACAUCCAUUUACUUGAAACAAGAUUACUAAAAUGUUCUAAUAGUCAUUAACAGUUUCUUCUACAUGCUUAAAGUGUUUGUUAGCAGGCCUGUUUCUUAUAAUUCAGAAUUAUCUAUGGAAACAGACAUUUUCACUCUAAACAUCUAAUGAAUCAACUGAUUUACUUAGAGCUUUUUUAAAUUCAAUCAGCAGGUAUUUGUUGAGUGUUGACUGUGACCUUGGCAUUCUGCUAGACACUGUGACAAUGAACAAGGACAGUAUCAGUUCUUGACCUUAGAGGAAGGUGCCGUUGAUUGAGGAGUCACACACAGUAUUACUGUGAUAGGUGUUAAGGAGAAAACCCAUGAAAAGCCAUGAAAGGACAGAACAGACACAUCUAGUCCAACCUGGAGGCUCAAGAAAGGUAUCUUAGUCAGCUUAGGCUUCUAUCACAAAAUACCGUGCAGACUCGGUGGCUUAAACAACAGACAUUUCUUUCUUAUGGUUCUGGGCACUGGGAAGUCCAAGACCAAGGAGCCUACAGAUUUGGUUCCUUGUGAGGGCCCUCUUCCUAGCCUGUAAAUGGCCAGUUUCUGGCAGUCCUCCAUGACCAAGAGAGGAAGAUCAAUUCUAUGUACAAACUAAAAAAAAAUAACAACAACUCAUAGAUACAGACAACAGAUCGGUGGUUGCCAGAGGCAGUGGGUGAGAGGUGGGCAAAAUGAGUGAAGGGGGUCAAUAGGUGCAAACUUCUAGUUAUAAAAUAAAUAAAUCCUGGGAUGUAAGGUACAGCGUGGUGACUAGUUAAUAAUACUGUAUUACAUAUUUGAAAGUUGCUAAGAGAGUAGAUCUUAAAGAUUCACAAGAAAAAAAAAUUGUAACUGUGAUGAUGGAUGUUAACUAGACAUAUUGUGGUGAUAAUUUCACAAUAUACACAAAUAUCAGUCAUUAUGUUGUACACAUGAAACUAAUAUAAUGUUAUAUGUCAAUUAUAUCUCAAUAAAAAAGAAAAAGGAAAAUAAGUGAGGGAGAGAAGACAAGUAGUAGAUUCACAUUUCAGCCUGCAAACAAAAGCAUCCACUUACAAAGACACUAAUCCUAUCAUGGGGGCUCCACUUCACGACCUCCUCUAAACCUAAUUACCUCCCAAGGGCCCCACCUCCUUCUACCAUCACAUUGAGGGUUAAGACUUCAACAUAUGAAUUUUGGAGGCACAUAAACAUUCAGUCCAUAACUGAGGGCUUCCCCAAGGAAGUGAUGUUGGAGUUGUAAUAUGAAAAAUAAGUGGAAAUUAACCACACAAUGAUGUGGGAGAGAAAACUGUGGCAAAGAGGCAACCACGAGCGGAGGUUCUGUAGCACAAGAAUGCAAAGCAUGGCUGAGAAGUUAACAUGAGCAGAUUGUGGCUGGAACACUGCCAUGGGGAGUUGGGGAGAGAGAUACAAGAUGAAUCUGAAGAGCAUGGCUUAGUCCACACCAAGCAGGGCCUUGUGGGUCAUGUUAAACAUUGUUUUCCUUAUCCUAAGAAUAAGGAGAAGUCUUUAAUGACUUUUGUCAGAGAAGUUCUAAUGUUAGAAAGCUCACUCCGGAAAUAAUAUGGGGAAUGAACUGGAGUAGGGUGCCAGGAGAACAUGAGAGUAAUCCGAGUGGCACCUGACAGUGGGUGUGUGAGAGUAGUGUCUGCAGAAAUGGAAAGAAUUUGAUAGAUUUGAGAGACAUUUAGGGGGAAAAACUGAAGUGACUUGGGAUGCAGGGGUCAAGGGAGAGCAAGGUGUCAAGGGUGAGCUCUUGAAUUCUACUUUUGUGCAAAGGAUUGAAUGGUGGUGCACUUGAGUGUGACUGGAACACACAGAGAGAAGCAAGUGUGAGAAGGAGUUUUAUUCUGGAAAUGCUGAGUUAAAAUGUCAUCAAAGGUGCCAGUAGACAGGACUAAUUUCAAGAGUUUUGGGCAGCAGAUGGUCAUCCAAACAAAAACUCACCCUAUUCCUUGCAGAUGGCACCUUAUAGACGGCACCACCCAGGGAUAGUACAAUGUGUGUGCUUGGGGUAAACAACCCCCCACCUCACAAACACAUAUAUCAUUACCAGUAAGGCUAGGAAAUAGUCAAGCUCUAACAUUUGGAAUAUUUACGUAUCUGUCAGUCCCAUGCAGGGUUACUCCCCACAGUGACCCUUGUUGAAUGUGGAGGUCCCUUCAACUAAUCAGAGAGUGCUGAGAGUAUUUCUCUUAACAAUUGGCUUAUGGUAAACUACCCACCGAAAGCUUUCCUUUGUGGGCUGAAAUGUGAAUCUACUUCUUGCCUUCUCCCCUUUCAUUUGAAAAACAACUUUCCAUGAGUUCCCUUCUAAGAGAUGACUCCAGUCCAUUACUUUGCUACCUCAGAGUAGGAACUAAAAGGAAAAAGAAUAGAGCGGAAAUGGGUCUUAGAGAUCAUCCUCAUUCUACAGAUAAAGAAACUGAGGCUCAAAACAAAGGCAUAUUUAGACAAUGCUAAGGGCAGUUUCCUCCUCCUAUUUUAGGUCUUUUUUUAUUUCUUUAAGUAUUUCUAAAAUGAGAAGAGAACAUACCAAUAGCAUAGUGUCUUCAUUCCAGCUUUUGUAAACAGCGAUCUAGGGGAACACAAAACAUUGUGGUCUUGGCCUCUCUGUCUUGUGACAGUGCUUCCUAACAGUUAGUAAUAAAAUUUUAUUCAGGAUAUUGUGCUCAAUACUCACUGAAAAUGUCAGGCUGGUCGCUAAGAUGGACUUUCCAAAUUAGUAAGUGGGGGGUAAGUUGCUAAUCCUUUUAACGAACAUCUAUUUAUUUCAAGUAACUCAAAAGGCAUCUGAUUCAACCUUCAAUUCAAUGGAUUACUCUUAGAACACAACUGUCAGGAAGGUCUUUACUGAGACAUCGAGCAUAAGUCUUAACAAGGGCUUUGUCAUCAUUAUCAUCCUAACCAGAGGUAAAGAAUGAAAUAUUAUUAAUAAAAACAACCUAGCAUAAAACUUCUAGAAGAAAAGGUGGGCAGUAUGCUCUUUGACAUGAGUCUUAGCAGCAUAUUUUCAAAUACCAUGUCUUACCAGGAAAGGGAAACAAAAGAAAAAAUAAACAAAUGGGACUACAUCAAACUAAAAAACUCUGCACAGCAAAGGAAACCACCUACAAAAUGAAAAGACAACCUGACAAUUGAGAGAAGAUAUUGUCAAACCGUAUAUUUGGUAAGGGGUUAAUAUCUGAAAUAUAUGCAUCUCAACAACAAAAAAAACAAACAAUCCAAUUAAAAAAUGGGCAAAAGAUCUGAACAGACAUUUGUCCAAAGAAGAUAUACAGAUGGCCAACAGGCACAUGAAAAGAUGUUCAACAUCACUAAUUAUCAGGGAAAUGCAAAUCAAAACUACAAUAAAAUAUCACCUCACUCCCAUUAGAAGGGCUAUAAUUAACAAGACAGGAAAUAACAAGCAUUGGAGAGGAUGGAGAGAGAAGGGAACCCUCAUACACUGCUAGUGGGAAUGCAAACUGGUGCAGCCACUAUGGAAAACAGUAUGGAGAUUCCUCAAAAAAUUAAAAAUAGAAUACCAUAUGAUUCAGCUAUCACACUGCUGAGUAUUUAUCCAAAGAACAUGAAAAUAUGAAUCCAUAAAGAUAUUUGCACCCCUAUGUUCAUCACAGCAUUAUUCACAAUAGCCAAGACUUAGAAACAACCUAAGUGCCCAUCAAGGGAUGAAUGGAUAAAGAAGAUGUGGCAUAUAUACACAAUGGAAUACUACUUGGCUAUAAAAAAAGAUGAACUCUUGCCAUUUGUGACAACAUGGAUGGACCUUGAAGGUAUUAUGCUAGGUGAAAUAAGUCAGAUGGAGAAAGUCAAAUAUUAUAUGAUCUCACUCAUAAAUAGAAGAUAAAAGCAACAACAAUAACAAGCGCAAACAUAGACACAGAAAUUAGAUUGGUUGUUACCAGAGGGGAAAAGGGAGGGAGGAGGACGGAAGGGGUGACUGGGCACAUGUGUGUGGUGAUGGAUGGUAAUUAGUCUUUGAGUGGUGAGUGUGAUGUAGUCUACAGAGAAAUCGAAAUAUAAUGAUAUACACCAGAAAUUUAUAUAAUGUUAUAAACCAAUGUUACCUCAAUAAAUAAGUAAAUAGAUAAAUAAAUAACAACCUAGCAGCUUGAGUCCCUUAUUCUUUAGGGUUUUAAAUCAAAAUCAAUGUGACUUUUUAAAGUAAACCCUAGGUAGAGUUUAAAAUGCUGAAUGUGCAUGAAUUAUGCAUGUGCACAAGGUCUACAGCCUCAGGUGCAUUGUUAGUAAAUCAAAUGCCAUAAAUAUAAAUCCAUUCCAAUAGCUUGUUUGAGGUGACUGGGGCUGCUGCCCCACGCAACACAGCAUUAACACAGUGGGUAGGAAGAGCACUGCUCGCAUCGAGAGAUGCUGGUACUUGUAGGUCAGAAGCAGUCCAGUGACGAUGCUCUUAAUAAAAGCGAAAGCAAUGAUGAUUGAGAACACUUCCAAACCAUUUAACAAUUUGGCCACAUCAUUUUUUUGAAUUCCAAUUAUGUGAAAGUUACUUUUAGACUCAAAAAUGAAGAAGAUUGGAUUCUGUCCCUACAAUAAAUCAUAAUCCACUGGGUGAUUAGCACGUCUAAUUAUAACAACACAAAACAAAGAAGGAGCAGUGGGAGAGGUCAUCAGCUCAAUUCAAAUUGGCCUAGUUUACUUUCCUUCUGGUCCCAGAGAAAAUGUUUGUGAUGUUUAGUGUUCUCCAAAUUUAUUUGUUUGCGAGCUUACAUGACUAUUGUGUAACAAACCAGUGGCCUGAAGUUAUUUACCAUAAAAUUUAAGAACUUAAAGGUCAUCUACUCCAAACUGGUCUUUUCAAAGUUGUGAAAACCAAGGCUGAGAGAGUUUAAUGUCAUAGAAUAAUUGAUCAUGUUAUUAACCUUAUGUAUGCGCACAUAUAUUCAAGCAUAUUUAUAUACUUACGUAUAAUAUUUAAAUACAUGAUAUAAUGUAUAUAACUAUCAUAUAUCAUAUAUAACAUAUGAUGAAUAUUUAUAUAUGAUUUUAUGUGUCUAUAUAUGUAUGAGUAGAUAGAUAGAUAUAGAUAUGUAAUUGCUAGCAGAUCAGUCAAUUGUAUUACAUUAGAACCAACUACAUUUUUAUCCAAGGCAUCAUUUGCCAAAAGAGCUGCUUCAUUUGUUUUUGUGUCUCUUCUUUCUUGAACCCCAAGAGUAAAAUGAAUUCUCUUGAGAAGUCUGGGAAGAAUAAGCAAUGAAAGAUAGAAUUUCCAUGGUCCUCAGAAAGUAAUAUCAUCCAGGCGAAGUAAUAUUUAUUACCCAACCAUCAUUUCUUCUGGAACACAUAUCAAAGUAAUUAGCUUAAGAGACUCAGCUUUCUACAAUGCAGGGAAUGGGUUGAUGGAGAGCCCUCACCUUCUGUCUCAUUCAAAAUAGACUCCAAAGAAAUAGCGACAAAGGGAAAUUUAAUUUGUAACUGAGGAGGCAAGAGAUUAGAUAGCCCUGGUGGAAUGAGCUCUGAGACUUGCUGGAACUUAAAUAUGAGUCUUUUAUAGCAAAGAUUUAUUAAACUCAACCACCGUUGUGGACUAUCUCUUUGCCAAAAUCAAUCCCCAUUCUGAUAUUUCCCCAUGGGCUACACGAAUGAUAACAGAAAAGGCUUUGGUUCUGCCACUGUAAAAACUGAAGGCUUGUUUCAUAUUUCGUUUGUAUAGUAAGCUGUCCUGGGGGAGACAUGAGGCUGUAGGAAAAAGCAAAGAAAAAUCAAAUCGAUUUCUUAGACUGGGACAUGGAGACCACUUUCAGAGGCUUCAGAAGAAGUCCCUGGAAAGAGAAAUUUUAUUACUUCCUCACUUCAUAUUGAAAAAAUUGAGAAAGUACAACUUAUCUCAGCAGGCGCAGAAUAAUUGCCAAUUCUCCUCAGAUAGUAAAACCCAACUUAUUCAUCAAAAACAAGUAAGGCCAGGGCCAGCCUGGUGGUGUAGCAGGUAAGUUCACUCGUUCCACUUUGGUGGCCUGGGGUUCGCCGUUUCAGAUCCUGGGUGCAGACCUAUGCACUGCUUGGCAAGCCAUGCUGUGGUAGGCGUCCCACAUAUAAAAUAGAGAAAGAUAGGCACAGAUGUUAUCUCAGGGCCAGUCUUCCUCAGCAAAAAGAGGAGGAUUGGCAGCAGAUGUUAGCUCAGAGCUAAUCUUCCUCAAAAAACAAAAAAAAACAAGCAAGGUCAUAGUUUGAGUGGUAGAGAAGGGAUGAUAUGGGUUUUGAAUCCAGACCUAGGAUUAAAUUCUCUUGAUGUUAUAUCACCUUGGACACAUUAAUUAAUCUCACUGAGCCUCAAUCUUCUAGGCCAUCAAAUGAGAAUUAAAAAAUUACUUCAAAACGUUUUUCAAAGUUUAAAUAGAACAAAGUGUGUGGAACAUACUCAGUAAAUACAAAAUCCCUCUUCCUCUCUUCACAAACCACCAUUAGUUCAUUAAUUUAAUCAACUGAUGUUUAUUGAACCUUGUACUCCACACCAGGAACUCUGCUUGACAUAGGAGAUGUGGUGACAGAUGAGAGAGGCAUAGCCCUGCCCUCAUGGAGCUUGUGGUCCAGGAGGAAAGAAUGACAGUUAAUGAGUAAUUAAAUGAAUAACUAACCCAGUUUUAAAAAAUGAUCAGAAGAAGGACUUCAAAAAAGACUGAAAAUAGAACUCUGGAGAUACAAUGUUGAAUGCAGCUUUUACUCUGAGGGAAACUGGUAAAUACUAGUUAGCUUGAGAUUCUAUUUUGAUGGUCAAACAAGAUACGGGGGAAGGCAUUUGAUACGUAGGACUUAUGUAAGGUAGAGAAUGUAACAGGCCUCAGUAUAGAGCUGAAAAUCUGAAUGGAUCACCUGGGAACAAGAAAUCAUCUUACCUCGUAGGAAGAGACAGCAAGAAAACUUGCCUGAUGACAUUGGUGCUAAUAGAGGGGGAAAAACGUCUUCCCUGAGAUGUUUCAUUUGCUAACAUCAUUUUAUGGCUUGAAUUCACACUACCUGUUUCAUUUGAGAAGCAUCAAGUGGAAAAUUAAAAGUGGUUGAAGUCAAUAGGGCCCCAAGGUAAUUGGCAGAAGCAAAUAAAAAUCUUCAGAAAAAAAAAAAAAGGAAUAGAAAAGGAAAGCUUUCCAGUAAUUCUCUCAGAUAAAGUUCUAAACAGUAUACUUUCAUAAUUAUGAUUAUAAAACAAUGAGUCAUCAAGGAAAUGUAAAUUAAAAUCACAACAUAAUACUGCAUACCUACUAAAAGGGCUGAAAUUUAAGAGAUUGACA